AACGCUAGCUACAGGCUUAACACAUGCAAGUCGCGGGGCAGCAUUUUCUUAGCUUGCUAAGGAAGAUGGCGACCGGCGCACGGGUGAGUAACGCGUAUCCAACCUUCCCAUGUCCACGGGAUAGCCCGUCGAAAGGCGGAUUAAUACCGUAUGAGGUCACAAGCGGGCAUCUAAUUGUGACGAAAGGUUUGGCGGACAUGGAUGGGGAUGCGUCCGAUUAGCUUGUUGGCGGGGUAACGGCCCACCAAGCCGACGAUCAGUAGGGGUUCUGAGAGGAAGGUCCCCCACAUUGGAACUGAGACACGGUCCAAACUCCUACGGGAGGCAGCAGUGAGGAAUAUUGGUCAAUGGGCGAGAGCCUGAACCAGCCAAGUAGCGUGCAGGAAGACGGCCCUACGGGUUGUAAACUGCUUUUAUGAAGGAAUAAAGUCACCCACGUGUGGGUGUUUGUAUGUACUUUAUGAAUAAGGACCGGCUAAUUCCGUGCCAGCAGCCGCGGUAAUACGGAAGGUCCGGGCGUUAUCCGGAUUUAUUGGGUUUAAAGGGAGCGUAGGCCGCCCGGUAAGCGUGUUGUGAAAUGUCGUUGCUCAACAACGUCACUGCAGCGCGAACUGCCGGGCUUGAGUGUGCGGAAAGCGGGCGGAAUUUGUGGUGUAGCGGUGAAAUGCUUAGAUAUCACGAAGAACUCCGAUUG
rnacentral:rRNA from 1 species